CAAUCGUUUCUACUCUAUUUACCAUUUAAGGUUGUGAAUGAGAUCUAUACUUCUAUGUUAUUGUUCUGAAUGAGAAAAACUCGUAAUGUUCUUUUGUUAUAACUUUCCAUAUGAUUUAUUUUCUUUUUUCUUCCAAGCCAAUGAAAUCUCUGUCACUUCCCUUGCAGGAAAAAUCUGAAAAUUAAAGAAAUGAAAUCGCUUGUGUUCACCAACCUUACAAUCUUUAAACAAGUACACUAGUAUAUUUGUAAUAUUAUGCACGUGAUGCUCUUUAUAAAUCGAGAGUUUAGAAAAGAUUUUUUUUUAAUAUUAUGCAGAUGAUGCUCUUUAUGAAUCGAGAGUUUAGAAAAGAUUUUUUUUUUUUUUUGGAGGGUACUAUAAGGAGUUAAUUUUAGCAAAUGCACUAAAGUAUGUAAUAAAUUUCUAAAUGAUCAUUGAAGUGAUUCUUUAGCAUUAAUAAUCACUCAAAUUUG
rnacentral:lncRNA from 1 species